rnacentral:lncRNA from 1 species
AGAGGAUUUCUCCAACAAUAAAAACCACAACAAGGUUGGUGGCACUGGCAACAAAUCUUCGCAAUCUCCACGGCAAACAACCUUGUCCGGAUCGAAAGAACGAAAAAAAAUUGUCAACAAAUAUUAUUUAUCACACAUCGAAGGGUUCAUCAGGUUUUACAGAUCAGUUCAUCACGCUGCUGCGCUUUCUAACAUCAUCAGCAGCAGCAGACAGCAGAGCAGCGUAUGUACAGCAUCAUCAUCAGUUCAUGAAUCAGAGAAGUUACAGAGAGAUUCUUCACAUUAGUAUCAUCGAGAAUCAUCAAGGAUUUCAGAUUGGUACCCAAUGGAACGGUGGGGGGGGGGGGGGGGGGGGGGGGGGGGGGGGGGGGGGGGUUGGUGGGCGUCUCAGGCGCGGCUGGCUUCCUCGGCGGCGGGGGUGCGGAGGGCGGGGACGCGCCCGCCGCAGCCCGACCGCUUCUUGCGCUUCCCGGACAGCAGCGCCCACACCGGCAGCGGGGUGAACGGCGGCGGCGCCGGCGGGGACGAGGAGGCCGCCCACCCCGGCUUCCCUGUUUCCGGCGGCAGCGGCGGGGAGGGCAGCCGCUUCUUCGGCGGGAGCAGGGGCGGCGGCGGCGGCGGCAGGUACUGCUUCUUCGGCGGAAGUAGCGGCGGCAGCGUGGGCUGCUGCUCCCGCAGAGGUAGGCGU